rnacentral:rRNA from 1 species
UAGUCAUAUGCUUGUCUCAAAGAUUAAGCCAUGCAUGUCUAAGUAUAAACAAUUCUAUACUGUGAAACUGCGAAUGGCUCAUUAAAUCAGUUAUAGUUUAUUUGAUAGUACCAUUACUACUUGGAUAACCGUGGUAAUUCUAGAGCUAAUACAUGCGUAAAAUCCCGACUUCUGGAAGGGAUGUAUUUAUUAGAUAAAAAACCAACCUGGGCAACCAGUUCUUUGGUGAUUCAUAAUAACUUUUCGAAUCGUAUGACUUUAUGUCGACGAUGGUUCAU